GUGUCAGCCGCCGCGGUAAGACGUAGGGCGCGAGCGUUGUCCGGAUUUAUUGGGCGUAAAGAGCUCGUAGGCGGCUUGUCGCGUCGACUGUGAAAACCCGUGGCUCAACCAUGUGGUCUGCAGUCGAUACGGGCAGGCUAGAAUUCGGUAGGGGAGACUGGAAUUCCUGGUGUAGCGGUGAAAUGCGCAGAUAUCAGGAGGAACACCGGUGGCGAAGGCGGGUCUCUGGGCCGAUAUUGACGCUGAGGAGCGAAAGCGUGGGGAGCGAACAGGAUUAGAUACCCUUGUAGUCC
rnacentral:rRNA from 1 species